rnacentral:lncRNA from 1 species
UAUAUACAAACUCUGUUGCAUAUAAAAUAUUAUUAAAAUAUUGUUAUCUAGAAGCUUAAUUUAUUGGGUAAAUUUUAAACAAUAUUCGUGUGGUUUCGUACUUUCUCACUUUAACACCCUAUGGUUUAAAAUGUAUCAAUUUAGUAUUCUGUGGUUUUAUUUUUUUUCUUUUUGUCAGUCCCUCCGUUAACUUUUUGUUAAAUCAUAUAAAAAAGAAACUUUAGAUACCUCACUAUAGUUUAUCGAAUAUUCACUUUAAUUAGUACCAUUUUGUUUCAACUUUGUUAUUGAUUUAACAAAAAAAAUUAGUAGAGAAAAUAACAAAAAGAGAAAAAUAAAACCACGGGGGUACGAAAGUGAUACACUUUAAACCACAGGAUACUAAAGUGAGAAAGUGCGAAACCACAUGAAUGAUAUUUAAGUGUUUUCUAAUUUUUAGAAGACAAAUGAUUGUUUUACAUUAUAUCAGAAUAAAAUUUUCUAAGUUUGAAUUUUCCAAGGCUUCUUAGACUUCUUUAAUUCUCUUCUCUUCGAUCUCAAUUCACAUUUUGGGUCUGCUAAAAAAACUCGAGUCGGAAUAAAAGAGCGAUAGUGUUGAAUACAAAAUAUUAC